rnacentral:tRNA from 1 species
ACCUGGGUGGCUCAGUAGAGCAUGUGACUUUUGAUCUCAGAGUUGUGGGUUUGAGCCCCACGUUGUGUG